rnacentral:rRNA from 1 species
UGCAGUCGAACGAAGUAGCAAUACUUAGUGGCAGACGGGUGAGUAACAUGUAGGUAUCUGCCCUUUGGCCUGGAAUAACACGAGGAAACUUGUGCUAAUACCGGAUAAGUCUUUACGGAGAAAGCUUUAUGCACCAUUGGAUGAGCCUGCACUUGAUUAGUUUGUUGGUGGGGUAAUGGCCUACCAAGACUGUGAUCAAUAGCUGAUUUGAGAGGAUGAUCAGCCACAUUGGGACUGAGACACGGCCCAAACUCCUACGGGAGGCAGCAGUGGGGAAUCUUGCACAAUGGAGGAAACUCUGAUGCAGCGAUGCCGCGUGAGUGAAGAAGGCCCUUGGGUUGUAAAGCUCUUUCGUCGGGGAAGAAAAUGACUGUACCCGAAUAAGAAGGUCCGGCUAACUUCGUGCCAGCAGCCGCGGUAAUACGAAGGGACCUAGCGUAGUUCGGAAUUACUGGGCUUAAAGAGUUCGUAGGUGGUUGAAAAAGUUAGUGGUGAAAUCCCAGAGCUUAACUCUGGAACUGCCAUUAAAACUUUUCAGCUAGAGUAUGAUAGAGGAAAGCAGAAUUUCUAGUGUAGAGGUGAAAUUCGUAGAUAUUAGAAAGAAUACCAAUUGCGAAGGCAGCUUUCUGGAUCAUUACUGACACUGAGGAACGAAAGCAUGGGUAGCGAAGAGGAUUAGAUACCCUCGUAGUCCAUGCCGUAAACGAUGUGUGUUAGACGUUGGAAAUUUAUUUUCAGUGUCGCAGGGAAACCGAUAAACACACCGCCUGGGGAGUACGACCGCAAGGUUAAAACUCAAAUGAAUUGACGGGGACCCGCACAAGUAGUGGAGCAUGUGGUUUAAUUCGAAGAUACGCGCAGAACCUUACCAACACUUGACAUGUUCGUCGCGACUCUAAGAGAUUAGAGUUUUCGGUUCGGCCGGACGAAACACAGGUGCUGCAUGGCUGUCGUCAGCUC